GCGAAAGUGGCGAAAUUGGUAGACGCACCAGAUUUAGGUUCUGGCGCCGAAAGGCGUGUGGGUUCGAGUCCCUCCUUUCGCACCA
rnacentral:tRNA from 1 species